UCUAGUGAUCACACUAACUUGUAACUUUGGGUCAUUUGAUAGCCUGUUAUUCCAUUUUACUAUCAAUAGAAAAGCAAACUAAGGAAAAGCUAUUUGGGGGUAAACUAUGAAAAAUUGCUCAUGCUUUUAAAACAUGGAAAUUGGGAAAUUUCACCUGUAAAAAUAGAGCCACAUAAUGCUUAACAAAACUAGAGAUAGAUUAUUCUCUUUUUUAACCCUCCUAUUAUUUACUCUUAACUUUCCCCGCUUUCCCCUGCACUUCUGUUCAGGAACACAAAUUCACGGCACCUAUAUCAAGGGGAUCAGAGCCUCCUGGAAAGAGUCGUACAAACUUGAAGAUGAAUCAUCACUUGAGUUCUGAGGACUGUGUUGGUUCAAACAUUUUGGUGAAGUUGGGCCUGAGCAUUAGAACUACCUGUUUGUAUGUGGGCAAGUUGUUUAGUGCCCCUGCUUGUGAUUUCCUGAUCUGCAUGGUGGAAAUGCAUCACUCGUGCAUGCCAGAGACCCUGUCCUUUAGAAUGUGCACACCAGUCAGAGGCAACUGAAGGUCACCCCCACUGGAAGGUAAGCUCCACGAGGAGGCUGCGAUUUGUUGGCUACCGUGUCUCCGGAACAUGACUCACGGCUUGACACAUAGGUGUCACUUAGAAGAUAUUUGCUGAAUUGCUAAAGGUGCUCCGGUUUCCUCCCACAUUUGGAAGCUGUGCAUGUCAGGGGAACUGGAGGGUCCACACUGUCCCGGCCAGAGUGAGUGUGGGUGUGAGUGCCACCCGUGAUGGAACUGCGUCCUGCCCAGGCUUGGCUUCCGCCUGGCACCCUGAGCUGCUGGGAUAGGAGGCGGCCACCCGACACCGAAGAGCAU